GUGGUUCAGUGGUUAAGAACACUGGCUGUUGCUCUUCCAGAGGACCUGGGUUCAAAUCCCAAC
rnacentral:tRNA from 1 species